GCAACUCGCCUACAUGAAGCUGGAAUUGCUAGUAAUCACAGGUCAGCAUACUGUGGUGAAUACGUUCCCGGGCCUUGUACACACCGCCCGUCACACCAUGAGAGUUGAGAAUACCCGAAGUCCAUGUCAAAGUGGCCGAAGGUAGGCUUGAUGAUUGGGGUGAAGUCGUAACAAGGUACC
rnacentral:rRNA from 1 species